rnacentral:lncRNA from 10 species
GAGACGGAGCUUCGCUCUUGUCACCCAGAAUGGAGUACAAUGUGCCACGAUCUCGGCUCACUGCAACCUCCGCCUCCUGGGUUCACACCAUUCUCCUGCCUCAGCCUCCCAAGUAGCUGGGACUACAGGCGCCUGCCACCAUGCCUGGCUAAUUUUUUGUAUUUUUAGUAGAGAGGGGGGGUUUCUCCAUGUUGGUCAGGCUGGUCUUGAACUCCCGACCUCAGGUGUUGAGCUCAGGAGUUCGAGACCAAAUUGGGCAACAUGGUGAAACCCUAUCUCUACGAAAAAUACAAAAAUUAGCUGAGUGCCGUGGCUUGCGCCUGUCCUCCCAGCUACUUGGGGGGCUGAGGCAGUAGGAUCGCUCAAGCCCAGGAGGUGGAGGUUGCAGUGAGCCAAGAUCACGUCACUGCACUCCAGGAAGGGCAACAGAGCAAGACUCCUUCUAAAAAAAAAAAAAAAAAAAGAAAGAAAGAAAAGAAAAUUAACUUUGGUAUUUCAGGUUGUAUUUAAAUGGAGACUUAACAUGAACUAUGUUCAUAACACUUGACCAAAUUAAGUGUAGAUCGUCUCUUUAAUAAAGAGAUCAUCUGGAACUGCAAUUUCUAACUCAUACAUCAUUGCUACAAACCUUAUUUGUUUACUAUUUCUCUUCCAAGGACCAUCAGUCAUCCUUUAAAAUUCAUUUCAAGCUCUGAAAAGAUAUUUUUUGUUAC